GAUGAACGCUGGCGGCGUGCUUAACACAUGCAAGUCGAACGAAGCGCCUCGGAAAGAGUUUUCGGACAAUGGAAGAGGUUGUUUAGUGGCGGACGGGUGAGUAACGCGUGAGUAAUCUGCCUUGGAGUGGGGAAUAACACAGGGAAACUUGUGCUAAUACCGCAUAAUGUAUCGAAGUGGCAUCGCUUUGAUACCAAAGAUUUAUCGCUCUAAGAUGAGCUCGCGUCUGAUUAGUUAGUGGGUGAGGUAACGGCUCACCAAGACUUCGAUCAGUAGCCGGACUGAGAGGUUGACCGGCCACAUUGGGACUGAGACACGGCCCAGACUCCUACGGGAGGCAGCAGUGGGGAAUAUUGGGCAAUGGGCGAAAGCCUGACCCAGCAACGCCGCGUGAAGGAAGAAGGCUUUCGGGUUGUAAACUUCUUUUGUCGGGGACGAAAAAAAUGACGGCACCCGACGAAUAAGCCACGGCUAACUACGUGCCAGCAGCCGCCGCAGUAA
rnacentral:rRNA from 1 species